rnacentral:misc_RNA from 1 species
CUGUACGACAGUUUCCGUCCAGCAGAAGAGCGUAUACCUGGCCGCUUCAGCGCUGACUGCAGGACCAUCAUACCUGUCCGGCAGCCAUGGGAGGAAGGUGGUGUGCAUCGCUUCUGCUCCUUAUAACAGUCGCGCCUGUAAGGCCUCUUGACUUCAACAUCACCCACACAUGGGACGGCGAGCCCUUGGGCAACGAGCGGCCGGUCCAGCUGCACCUGUCGGGGAGUCCUGACGGGGAGCACCUGGAGGUCAGCAUCAUCGCGCCCUUCUUCGAUGACCCCGCUUCCUCUGACGCCCCUGCAGGAGAGUCGGUGAUGCCGCUUUUCAGAGACGAAGUGGUGGAAGCUUAUUUCCUCAACGAUGAAGACCAGUACUUUCAAAUGCAAUUAACUCCACGGGGCCAUUACCAAGGACUCCUUUACAACGGCGAGCGAGCCCGGAUACGCUUCCACCUGCCGUUAAUGACCACCGCGCGCAUUAACCGAGAAUCGAACACCUGGACGGGCCUGGUUAAGAUCCCCGUCGAUUACUUGCCUCGCAAUGUGACAAAGUUCAACGCUUUUGCCAUGCACGGAGCGAACCCAAAUCGCCAGUUCUGGAGUCUCUUCCCUUCUGACGGAUCUCUCUCCGAACCCGACUUCCACGCAUUGCAGUUUUUCGAAGAGGUCGACUUCACGCAGAUGCUUCCCAAUCUCCCCGAAGAGUCAUCUCAACUCUGGCUUGAUGCCAUUGAGGGGGUCUUCCGAUACCACGUCAAGACCGAAUGGAACAGUGUCCCCGUGACUCACGAUCCGGUCGAGAUUAAGCUCCAAGGAUUUGAGGCAGGUGUUGAGAUGAACGUGACGGCUCCCUUCUUCAAUGACCCCAAGCCCGACGGUCCUUCUGGCCAGCCCUUCUACGGUCUCUGGGAUUACGAGGUUGUGGAGAUGUUCUUCCUCAACGACAACGACGAGUAUCUGGAGGUGGAGCUCGGACCUUGGGGCCAGCACCUCCUCCUCCUGCUCAAGGGCGCCCGCAACGCCAUCAAGCACUCCAUGCCCCUAGACUACAUCGCUCAAGUCCCAACGACAACGGACGGGAAGUGGACGGGGUCGGCCUUGAUCCCCCCCGAGUACUUCCCCCCGAACGUGACCCGCAUCAACGCCUACGCCAUCCACGGCACGGGCAAGGACAGGGUCUACGAGUCGCUCUUCCCGGCGCCCGAGAACGACCCGGAUUACCCCCAGCCGGACUUCCACCGCCUGGAGCUGUUCAAGCCGAUCGACUUCCAGUUCCAAAUGCCCAACAACUCGGAGUACUCGCAGCUGUGGCAGGACGCCAUGACCAGCGGCGGCAGCUCGUCGACGGGGAUCUCGCCAGUGGUUAAGGAUGAGGAGGAGGUGGAGAUAACGACGAUGCUGGGUCUCCGUGAUGAAGACAAGGAGUUCGUGACCACGUUCGCUCCCGAGACGGCGAGGCCCUUCUCUUCCUCCUCCUCGACGCGCCGCAGGGGAGGCCAGGGGGGCUCCACCACGCGACGAAGGAGGCCGAUGCCGCACAAGGUGGACUCGCAAGUUGUGUCGCGAGGGCAGAGCCGGAAGGAGGACCAGUCUCUGUUCCAGCAGCGGCGAGGCGAGGCGCAGUUCUUCAACCCCGGCCCCGUGCCCAGGCCUCAACAGGUCCGGGGAACCGCUCCGGGCCGGUUCCAGGACCGUGUGCUCGUGUCGGAGGCGGCGGACCAGAAUCGGAAUGUCGAUCAGCGGUUCUCGCAGGGGACUAAUGGAUUCCAAAACCAAGGAUUCCCGUUCCAGGAUCAAGGACGCCCCCAGGCAGAAUUCCAGGGUCAAGGACGCCCCCAGGUAGCAUUCCAGGAUCAAGGACGCCCCCAGGUAGCAUUCCAGGAUCAAGGACGCCCCCAGGCAGCAUUCCAGGAUCAAGGACGCCCCCAGGUAGCAUUCCAGGAUCAAGGACGCCCCCAGGCAGCAUUCCAAGAUCAAGGACGCCCCCAGGCAGUAUUCCAGGAUCAAGGACGCCCCCAGGCAGCAUUCCAGGAUCGAGAUAGGUUCGAAGAAACUCGCCCAUUCCAGAACCAAGGGCAGUUCCGACCUCCUCAGCAGGAUCGUAAUAGGUUUGAAGAAACUCGACCAUUCCAGAACCAGGGACAGCCGCAGCAGGAUAGGUUCGAAGAGACCCUGCCAUUCCAGAGCCAAGGGCAGUUCCGACCUCCGCAGCGAUUCCCAGAACAGGAAGAGCAACUAUUCCAGACCCGACCCGAAGCGCCAGCGUUCCAGGACCGCGACCAGUUCGAAGAGACGCAGUCAUUCCCGCAAGGCCAAGACUCGCAGGCGUUCCUAGCGGACGAGGAGCAGUUCGAGACGCAGCCGCCGUUCUUCCCGGAGGAGGAGGAGGAGUUCCGCCCGCCCCAGAGGCCGAGCGCGGGCGUCCGCGACAGCCAGCCCAGCAGGGUGUUCAGCAACCCGCCGCUCGUGAGGGAGGGCGAGCAGGUGGCGUCUCCUGAGGUAGAGGCGGCCAUCCAGACCCUAUCGCAGGCCACGGCGGCGCUGCCUCCCCCUCACCCCGUGUGCUUCGAGUCGGGCCUGAUUCCCGACUCCCAGCUGUGCUACGCCUUCCACGAGUGCGUGAUCGAGAACGGCGAGUGGCAGAUGUACUCGUGGCGCUGUCAGCGAGGCCACGUGUACGACCCAAUCAACGUGGAGUGCAUUCGGGGGAGAUGCGCCACCAGGAGGAGGCUCGGAUGAAGGGGCGUCGAGGUCGGGCAAGGGACGCUGAAAUGAGCUGAAAAAAAAACAAACAAAAAAUGAAAAUAAAGUCAAAACACAAAAAGUGAGUGCACAGCAACCACAAACAAACAAACAACCAAAACAUCAAAAUAAACUGAAAACACACACACACACAAAGAAAUACAUACCGAAUAUAAACACAAAAAAUAAAAGCUCAUUUUUGUGUUGAAAAACAAUUAAAGGGAAUAAAUCUGCUACGUAUGUACACAUGUAUGGAACAUUUUUCAGAGUGUCUCGAACUUCCGAGAUUUGACUCGAGGAAGCAGCUGGACCUCGGGGAAACUAUUCUAUAUUUUGCAUAUUACCCAGCUUGAAUUACGCUGUUGCGGGGAUAUCAUGACUGAAGGUUGAUAUACGGUAGUUUCAUAAGGCUUAUAUACCCUAUACAUUCCAAUUACUGUGUGUCUUGUCUCUGCUGAUUCAGCAAGUUGUUAUUUGUUACAAUAAAAGAUUUGUCAUGAA